UACGUAGGGUGCGAGCGUUAAUCGGAAUUACUGGGCGUAAAGUGUGCGCAGGCGGCCGCGCAAGUCGAGUGUGAAAGCCCCGGGCUUAACUUGGGAAUUGCGCUCGAGACUACGUGGCUGGAGUGUGGCAGAGGAAGGUGGAAUUCCAGGUGUAGCGGUGAAAUGCGUAGAUAUCGUGAGGAACACCAGAGGCGAAGGCGGCUACCUGGACAAUUGCUGACACUCAGGCACGAAAGCGUGGGGAGCAAAAGGG
rnacentral:rRNA from 1 species